AUUGAACGCUGGCGGCAUGCCUUACACAUGCAAGUCGAACGGUAACAGGUCUUCGGAUGCUGACGAGUGGCGAACGGGUGAGUAAUACAUCGGAACGUGCCCAGACGUGGGGGAUAACGAGGCGAAAGCUUUGCUAAUACCGCAUACGAUCUAAGGAUGAAAGCAGGGGACCGCAAGGCCUUGCGCGUUUGGAGCGGCCGAUGGCAGAUUAGGUAGUUGGUGGGAUAAAAGCUUACCAAGCCGACGAUCUGUAGCUGGUCUGAGAGGACGACCAGCCACACUGGGACUGAGACACGGCCCAGACUCCUACGGGAGGCAGCAGUGGGGAAUUUUGGACAGUGGGCGAAAGCCUGAUCCAGCAAUGCCGCGUGCAGGAUGAAGGCCUUCGGGUUGUAAACUGCUUUUGUACGGAACGAAAAGGCUCUGGCUAAUACCUGGGGCACAUGACGGUACCGUAAGAAUAAGCACCGGCUAACUACGUG
rnacentral:rRNA from 1 species